rnacentral:lncRNA from 1 species
GGGGCUAGCAAAAUGUAAAUCUAUCUAAGAUACUAACUAUAGAAAUGACUAGGUAGGAAAAGUAGGUAGGUGGCUAGGUUUCUAGGUUGGUAGGUUGGUGAUUACAAGUAAAAGAAGAGGGGUAUUUAUAACUAAAGAAUUAGGGUUUAGGGGUAGGGUGGCUCAAUCUUGACCAUCCAUGUGCCUUGUGUGUUGGGAAGAUUGUGGCCCUCCAUGUGUCCCUUAGUUGCCAACUCUCUUUUUUUUCUUCUUUUCUUUUCCCUUUUCUUCUUUUUCUUGCAUUUUCUCUUCUUUCUUUAUUUAUCUACAAUUUCCUGAAAUAAAAUAAAUAAGCGAUUAAUACUACGAAAAUAAACAAAAAAUAGGCACUUAAAUAUGCAAAAAUAUGGACUAAUCAA